CCAGUAGUUCUCAGCCUUGGGUGAUUCUCAGAAGUCCUAGCUGGGCAGCACCAUCCACUUGCAGGCUCCUGCCUUUACCCAGAUUCCAGUCCUGGCAGUGAGGUGAGGACACCAGGUCGCAGGUGGCAAAGGGGGCCUGGCCCCAAGAGGCAGCUGUUGCCAGGAACCGAGUCAGGAGUCUCCAGGUGGAGGUGGGGAUCCUCUCAUGCUUAUCCCUGAGGAUGCAUUUUUACCACUGCAGCUGGACUCUGCUGGUCUCGAAGUUUCACUACCCACUGGAGAGAUACCUCCACCGAGGAUCAUGAUAAAAACCCUUCGGAAGGUCUGCCACCAGUGUUUGUGGACUCCGAAGAUGGCCUCCGAUGAAUGAUCCCUCCUGGUAUUUAUGUGCUUGUGUAGUCCCUCCCGUCCUGAAUCUUGGCUGUCCUUUGACCUACAUUGCAUGUGGGCAGAAGUGACUGUGCCAUUUUUAGUCAUAAGUCUUGAGAAAGUCUGAUGCUUAGAGUCAUUGUGCUCCUUGGAAACAUGUAAAAAGUUUAGCUGCUCUGCUGCGGAGGAAAAGCCUGGGAGGAUAGGAUGGCGCGUGGAGAACUUCUUCUGGGAGCGAGGAAGCCAUCUUGAACGUUCCUGCUCAAGAGCCUCCAGAGUUCUUCAAAGCAGGUCCCAGCUGCCAACUGACUGCAACUGCAAGAGAGAUUCCGAGCAAAACCAAGAGAAGAGGUACACAACGGAGAUCAAUCAACACACAGAAUCAUGGGAGAUAAGAAUAACAUUUAUUAAGCUACUGAGUUUGAGUGCUUCAUUUUAUACCAAUAGAAAACUGAAACAACCCACUCAAAAAAUAUUUCCAGAACCUAAAUUGGUUGUCUAAUGCUAAGGAUGGAAGGAAUAGUGUCGUUUAUCCUGACACUAUUAACACUGUUCCAGACUUAUUUUACAUUUAACAAUCAUAUCAUCAGAUUGAAUGUGUAGUUAACUAAACAUCUCUAGCAUCUGUCACAGGAUGCUGUUCGCCUACUCUCUCCAAUGUCUUCCUAAAAGGUACUAUGGACCUAAAUAAACGAUUUUGCAUCUU